rnacentral:rRNA from 1 species
UGGGGAAUAUUGCACAAUGGGGGAAACCCUGAUGCAGCAACGCCGCGUGAGUGAUGAAGGCCUUCGGGUUGUAAAGCUCUGUCUUAGCUGACGAUAAUGACGGUAAGCUAGGAGGAAGCCACGGCUAACUACGUGCCAGCAGCCGCGGUAAUACGUAGGUGGCGAGCGUUGUCCGGAAUUACUGGGCGUAAAGGGAGCGUAGGCGGCCAAUUAAGUGGGAUGUGAAAUGCCUGGGCUUAACCCAGGAACUGCAUUCCAAACUGGUUGGCUAGAGUACAGGAGAGGAAAGUGGGAUUCCAAGUGUAGCGGUGAAAUGCGUAGAGAUUUGGAGGAACCCCAGUGGCGAAGGCGACUUUCUGGACUGAAACUGACGCUGAGGCUCGAGAGCGUGGGGAGCAAA